CAAGUGUGUCACAAGUGUGUCAGCUCAGAGGAGGGGCCAGCCAGAGGAUAGUUGGGAGGCAGAGCUGCCCCUAAGUGAGCCAUGGAGAGGUUCUGCUCCCUCAUCCAUCUCUCCCUCUUCUGGGCAGGAGCCAUGUCAGCCAUUGAGUUGGUGCCUGAACACCAAACAGUGACUGUGUCAUUGGGGGACCCUGCUACCCUCAGGUGCUCCAUGAAAGGAGAAGCGAUCACUAACUAUUACAUCAGCUGGUACAGGAAGACCCAAGGUAACACAAUGACUUUCAUAUACCGAGAAAAGAACAUCUAUGGCCCCGGUUUCAAGGAUGGUUUCCAAGGUGAAAUUGAUCCUGAAAAGGACCAGGCUGUACUUGAGAUUCUUGCAGCAUCGGAGAGAGAUGAAGGGUCUUACUACUGUGCCAGUGACUACCACCCUGCUACCCCCACACAACUCUCCUUUGGAAAUGGAACUCAACUCAUCGUGGAACCAAAAAUUCAACCUCCUACCAAACCAUCCGUUUUCGUCAUGAAAAAUGGAAAAAAUGUUGCUUGUCUGGUGAAGGACUUCUACCCCAAGGAUAUAAGUAUAAAUCUCAAGUCAUCCAAGAAGAUAACAGAGUUUGAUCCUGCUAUUGUCGUCUCUCCCAGUGGGAAGUACAAUGCUGUCAAGCUUGGUCAAUAUGAAGAUUCAAAUUCAGUGACAUGUUCAGUUCAACACAACAAUACCAUUGUGCACUCCACUGACUUUGAAUUGAGGGCAAAUUCUUCAGAUAACCUAACAUCAAUGCAAACUGAAAACACAAAGCAAUCUUCAAAGAGCUGCCACGAACCCAAAGUUCAUGCCGAGAAGGUGAACAUGAUGUCCCUCACAGUGCUGGGGCUACGAAUGCUGUUGGCAAAGAGUGUCGCCAUCAAUUUUCUCUUGACUGCCAAGUUAUUUUUCUUCUGAGGCUGACUGGCAUGAGGAAGCCACACUCCUAAAGAAACAAAAGGCUUACCAAAAUGCGUCUCCUCAGCUUCUGACUUCUUGGUGAUUCAAGUUGACCUGUCACAGUCUUGUUAAAAUGGCUGCUAGCCAAACCAAUUUUUCUUCUAAGGCCACAAACCCAGCUUAUCCUCCAGUUUGGUGGGAAGUUAAAAGUCCUAGGGAAGGGGGGUUUAUGUCCUAACUGCUUUAUAUGCUGUUUUGUAAAGGGAUGGAAGGAUAUAAAAAGAUAUAGGACUCGUUUUUUCACUCCUACAACCGAUACACUUUGAAAAUGAUGUUUCGUUCCAUUUGACUUUUAUCUUUGAAGUAGAAAGUAAGCGCCAAUAGGUUCACAGCUCCAUGCCUCAUGGGGAAAAUCGGCCUGGGAGAAGAAGAGCAGAUGCCCUUUUAUUUAAACACGGAAGGCUCUGCUCAACAGAGCACUAGAUUUGCUACUAGAUUUGCCUCUUCCUCCUGUCCUCAUGGCUUGUCCCACCCUCUGUGUUCACUUCAGGAGCCACACUAGAGAUUCUACAAGGCAUGGAGGAGGACAAAAUUUCUGCACUUUCUGCAUCUCAUAGUACUUUACAAAUGAGAUUACAUUUGAAUUCACAAAUAUUUUAUGAGUAGGCAAUGGGGUUCCCAAAAUCUCAUCUAAAUAUUCUCCAAUCUAUUAGCAAUGAUCAGAGGAAAGACGCUGCUUUCUGUUAAUUUAUUUAACAUGCAUAAAUCAGAUCCCCCUGAGUUCCAGGCACUGUACUGAGAGUACAAAGAAGACACAAGCCCAGCUUUCAGACAAGUCACUGUGCAAGUGUUUUUGGAGGGAAGAAUAGAAAGGAGACCCCUAUCUUUCCCUAUAAGAACAGCAUUUGUACUGUCUUUUGCCUGCCAAUCUGUGUUUGAAACAAUUGGACACUGAUUCUCUGACCUGGGACUUUGGUAUUGACGGUCUUCCACCUUUCUUCUCAGCCCCUGCCUCGGUUGCAUUUAUUAAACUGCAUUGUGUGCA